CACACUUCAAGGGUAAUAUUGUUUUUCCAUCUAACUUCUUUUAGCUUCACUUGGAUUAUAUCGACCACUUUCGGAAAUCUGGCAAUCACCGCUCUCUACAAGCUCUUCUUUGGCUUCUCUCUUCUCACUCUUCUUGUUCUUAUCGGUACCAAGCAGACAGCUCUUUAAGAAACAUGGCAGAUGCAGGUUCUCUGUAUUAAAAGUUUAACACCCAGUUUAUUGCAAAUUCAGUAUCAGCAAUAUCAGAAAAGCUCCACAGUCUGUCGGUUUCCCAGUUUCAAAACCCUUUAUUCCAACAAAUAUAUCUGAGUUUAGUUUGCCCAUUUCAGGAUUUCUAGGGUGACUCAUAUUUUGGUAUGACAACAUGGGCAGUCCAUUCUUAAUCAAUCUAACACUUUAUGAAAAGUAACAUCUCCCUCUAAGACGUCUGUUCUCUCUCUAGAUUGUACAGCUCCUUCUUGUUCUCAACUUUACGGUUUAUAGAUUUUAGACCUUCUUCAGGUUACGGGUUGCGGCUAAGACAGACCCACACAGAGAAGGGUGAUUGCUCGAGCACGCAUUGACUUGAAAUUCUAGGUCCGCCACUGGUCCGACUCUUGAAUCUUUUUGUGCUUAUUUACAUCUGUUGCUAAUGCUAAUUAAUAUUGCUUGGCCAAUAUGUGGAUCGGAGUUCAUUUUCAUCAUACGGGGAGUGACUGUUUCGUUUCUCUUAUCCAUCUUAGAUUUCUCAAAGUUCUCUAUCUCCAAACAGUUCUCCUCUUACUCCUAAUGUUGCUACUGGAUCAUUAAUAUUCUUCUUUUUAUCUUUUGUUUCUUC